AUGCUCAUUUCGGCAGCACAUAUACUAAAAUUAGAACGAUACAGAGAAGAUUAGCACGGCCCCUGUGCAAGGAUGACACGCAAAUUUGUAAAGCAUUCCAUAUAACU
ensembl:snRNA RNU6-1147P RNA, U6 small nuclear 1147, pseudogene